GCACCUCUGAUUGCAUUGUGACCAUACAUUGCCAAACUCCUGUCUUCCAGAAAUAAAUUGAGUGAACAAUAAGAACGCUAGAGUAGAUGCACUGCCAAUUUAGCACAGCGAGAGAAAUAUACCCACAGGCGCCAGCUCGUUCAGGUUCUGGAUACGAAACAGUGGAACCCUAGAUUUUAGCGUGUGUAAAGAGCUCGCUGAAGCAAGAACGUUAGGUUGAUUCGAUAACCUGAUUUCGCUUUUAAAAUUAAGCGCGAACUCUAGCUCAGGAAGGAAUACUAUUGAAAUUGAAUUGCACACUUCUAUGCUACGCUAUGCAAUGCAAUAAUAUGAUAUGAUACAAAUUGGUGAGGAUGGGGAGUAAAAAGGAGAGGUGGGGUGGAAUCUAAGCGGAGUUGGGAGCGGCGCGGAGCACAAGCACUUCCAGUGUCAGUCCUGGUCCGAAGCCAAUGAAGAAUCCGAACUCGCUGCCCUCGCCCAAAGUGGACGCACCCACCUUCACAGACCUGUGCCGAAUCUGAUCCAACACAAACAGCACAGAGGCGCUAGACAUGUUGCCAAAGUCAAAGUUUUGGAAAUCUCUUUUUGAGAUAUUGAAGGUGGAUAUCAAGCUUUCUUCGGCAUUUCAUCCUCAAACGGACGGCCAAACAGAACGGGUGAAUCAAGUUUUAGAGCAAUAUUUACGUUGCACCAUCAACUAUCAACAAGAUGAUUGGGCCGCAUAUCUACCGCUAGCCGAGUUCGCAUAUAACAACACCCUUCAUGCGUCAACUCAACAAACGCCAUUCUUUUCCAAUUAUGGAUACCAUCCAAAGCUUGACUUAUGGAGUUCGUCAACGAUUAACAAUCCGGCAGCUGAAGGAUUGGUGAAGGAGCUUUCGCAACUUCAAACUACAUUGAAGCUUCAAUUGUAAACUGCCCAAGAAUCUUACAAGGCGUCCGUGGACAAAUUUCAGAAUCAGGCACCUAAAUUCACGAUUGGAGACAAAGUUUGGCUGCUUCGACGAAAUAUUAAGACCAAGCGGCCAUGUGAGAAAUUGGACUAUCGGAGAUUGGGACCAUUUGUUAUCCAGAAGCAGAUCAAUCCUGUAGCGUAUCGUCUGGAGUUACCAGCUACUAUGAAGGUACAUCCUGUCUUUCAUGUUUCUUUGUUGGAGCCUUAUCGAAAAUCGUCUUUUCCUGGAAGAGUAUAAUGUCCACCACCUAGCAUAGAAAUAGAGAACCACAAAGAAUACGAGGUGGAAAAGGUCCUGGAUUCACGACAAAGACGGGGUAAAUUAGAAUACUUUGUGCAUUGGAGCGGUUACGAUAUUAAUGAACGAAUAUGGGAGCCGACCAAAAAUCUCGCGAAUGCGCCGCAAAAGGUACAGGAGUUUCAUCGACGAUAUCCUGAGAAACCCAAGCCGGUUCGACGAUAGCUUCUUACUGAAGCUUGCUCAUCCAGAAAACAGAAAAGAAGAGAGAGCACCACCAAAAUCCAUAGUUGAUGUAGUCAUUCUCUCCAAGAUAGCGUAGAACUUUGUUAGUAGCCCAAGUUUGUUCUUAUUGUUUUAGCCUUUGAAUAUGGAUAGCUAAGAUACUACACUUGUCAUGUCAUCUCAAGCAACUAGCUCACGAAGACGACCGCGAGAUGAAGAAUCGCCUGCACCACGACGACGUCGAAGGAUUCUGAGCAACAAAUCGCUGGUGAUUGUAUUUGAGGUCGAGCCUGCCUACAAUGGUCAGCUAGAAGGAGUGUUUGUAGGACAAUUUCACAAUGAAGACACGGAGGUUCAAACUGGGUCAGAAGUUGAAGGCGUGGGCCACUACCGUUGGCUUCAAGGACCAUUGAAUCACUUGCCUCGUGAACAACAAUUGGAGUUCAUAGCAGAGGUUAUGCGACAGAUCUUCAUUUUCUUGCGUUGGUAUUGACUGACGAUAACAUUGCUUCUCGGAGACCUCGAAGCUAAAGGAGGAGGUGAUGUUAGGGACAUAGUCCUUAGACCUUUUUAGAGACAAGUUUCUAGAACCUUCUAGAAAGAAGUCUCUAGAAACUUCCAGAAGAUUCUUUGAAUAUUUUCUUAGAAUAUUCUUUAAAGAUUUCCUAAAGAUUCUAUGAAGAUUCCCUAAAGAUUCCCUUAGAAGGCUCUAGAAGAUUCUUAGAAUAUUCUAGUAGAUUCUAGGAAGUUACUUGAGAAGCUUCAUAGCUCUUGGGUAGUUGCUCGAGAAGCUUCAUAGUUCUUGGGAAGCUUCUUGAUGCGCUUCCUUAGAACCAUAGGCCAGUAGUAUAUAUAGGAGUCGAGGCUGAAGAGUUCUUCAGUCUCGACAACACAUCUCUUGAAGCUCUAGCUCAAUCCUCUUGGCGUUGCUCUUGUACUCAUCUGAUAAUCUAGUUCUUGUCAUUUCUUCUUGAACUUCUUGUUUAGAUUUCUUGUUUGUAUUUUUGGUCCGUGACAUAAAGAACAUUCUACAUCAACAUAUUGAAGAAUCGUUGGCGCAUGUCGGAGGAUGCACAGAUUCAGGGAGGAUAGAUGUCAUGAUAUAACACGAUUAAUAGAUGAAAGAGUGUGGAGAUUAUUAUAAUUUAAGAGAUCUUAGUUCAAAGUAUUAGAACAAAUUAUCUUAGAAAUAUAGUUAAUAGCCAAAGGGAUAGAAAAAUUAAAAGGUAUCAAUGCUGCCUUUUAGAAAGGUGAUUUCUACUUACUUUGUAGUACCAUAAGUAAGGCAAAUCAAAGUAGAUUGAGAAAAUAAAUCAUAUAGGAAUCUUUAGAAGAAAGUUAAGAGUAAAUUCUAGAAAAAAAUUACUUAGAAAAACUAGAUAUUGAUACCCGGAGAGACCCGGUUAUGAACCAGGGUGGAAAUCAGACCUUGAGGCACAAAACCGAGUCUUGACGACGACUCCGGGACUCUUUGGCAGAUCAGAGAGUGGGGUUGGAGAGAAGGUUGGAUAGAAUUUCUAUGGGCGUUGAUUUUGGGUGAUUUGGAGUUGAUAUGAAUUUGUAAGAGCUUUGCAAAGUUGAGUUAUUUUUCGGAUGACUUGGGUUUUAUGAAAUAAAAUGGGGUUUAUGUUUUGAGUGAUUUCGAGAGUUUUGUUGCAGAUCUAUAGGUGAAUUUUUUUGAUGAAUACAUGUUGUGAAUUUGAGCACAUCUCCGUACUGCAUUGGCCUACUCGGUAAUGGAGCAGUUCAUGGUGCGGAUCCUCUCAACUGGGCCAAGACCGCCAAGGCCAUGGAAUGCAGCCACCUCGAAGAAAUCAAGCGGAUGGUCGACACUUACCAAAAUGCCACCCAGGUCAUGAUCGAGGGAGCCACCCUCACUGUACCUCAGGUAGCAGCCAUUGCUCGCAGACCUGACGUGCAUGUCGUGCUCGAUGCUGCCAAUGCCAAGAGUAGAGUGGACGAGAGCUCCAACUGGGUGCUCGACAGGAUCAUGGGCGGAGGUGACAUCUACGGCGUUACCACCGGGUUCGGAGCGACCUCUCAUCGUCGCACGCAGCAAGGAGUGGAGCUCCAGCGCGAACUCAUCCGCUUCCUGAAUGCGGGAGUCCUCAGCAAGGGUAACUCCCUGCCAUCCGAGACUGCCCGAGCGGCGAUGCUAGUGCGUACCAACACGCUGAUGCAGGGCUAUUCUGGCAUCCGCUGGGAGAUCCUCCAAGCUAUGGAGAAGCUACUCAACGCGCACGUCACCCCCAAGUUGCCCUUGCGGGGUACCAUCACGGCAUCCGGCGACCUCGUCCCCUUGUCGUAUAUCGCCGGCCUGCUUACCGGUCGCCCCAAUUCCAAAGCCGUCACCGAGGACGGACGAGAGGUUUCCGCGCUGGAGGCCUUGCGCAUCGCAGGCGUGGAGAAGCCCUUCGAGCUGGCGCCCAAGGAAGGGCUCGCCCUUGUCAACGGCACCGCAGUCGGUUCCGCCCUCGCUUCCACCGUGUGCUACGAUGCCAACAUCAUGGUGUUGCUCGCCGAGGUUCUGUCCGCGCUCUUUUGCGAGGUAAUGCAGGGCAAGCCCGAAUUUGCCGACCCCCUGACUCACAAGCUGAAGCACCACCCCGGACAGAUGGAAGCUGCGGCUGUCAUGGAGUGGGUGCUGGACGGGAGUUCCUUCAUGAAGGCUGCCGCCAAGUUCAAUGAGACCGACCCCCUGCGCAAGCCCAAGCAGGACAGAUACGCGCUGCGAACUUCCCCGCAGUGGCUGGGCCCUCAGGUGGAGGUCAUCCGCAACGCCACCCACGCCAUCGAGCGGGAGAUCAACUCUGUGAACGACAAUCCCAUCAUCGACGCUGCCAGGGGCAUCGCCCUGCACGGCGGCAACUUCCAGGGCACGCCCAUCGGCGUGUCUAUGGACAACACGCGCCUGGCGCUGGCCGCCAUCGCUAAGCUCAUGUUCGCACAAUUCUCCGAACUUGUGAACGACUACUACAACAACGGAUUACCGUCCAAUUUGAGCGGGGGACCCAACCCCAGCCUGGAUUACGGCAUGAAAGGGGCAGAGAUCGCCAUGGCCUCGUACUUAUCUGAGAUUAACUACCUAGCCAACCCGGUCACCACCCAUGUCCAAAGCGCGGAGCAACACAACCAAGAUGUGAACUCACUGGGAUUGGUGUCAGCCCGCAAAACGGAGGAAGCCAUGGAGAUUCUCAAGCUCAUGAGCGCCACCUUCUUGGUAGGCUUGUGCCAGGCUGUCGACCUGCGUCAUGUCGAAGAGACCAUGCAGUCGGCCGUGAAGCAAGUAGUGACACAGGUGGCCAAGAAGACGCUCUUCAUGGGCAGCGACGGAUCACUGCUGCCAUCACGCUUCUGCGAAAAGGAACUACUGAUGGUAGUGGAUCGUCAGCCGGUGUUCAGCUACAUCGACGAUUCCACCAGUGAUUCAUACCCUCUAAUGGAGAAACUGCGAGGGGUGCUGGUGAGCCGUGCCUUGAAGAGUGCCGACAAGGAGACCUCCAACGCAGUGUUUAGGCAGAUUCCAGUGUUUGAGGCAGAGCUGAAGCUGCAGCUGAGCCGUGUGGUGCCCGCGGUGCGAGAAGCAUAUGACACAAAGGGACUAUCCUCGGUUCCCAACAGGAUUCAAGACUGUAGGACGUAUCCAUUAUACAAGCUAGUGCGCGGAGACUUGAAGACGCAGCUCCUGUCCGGGCAGAGGACGGUGUCUCCUGGGCAAGAGAUUGAGAAGGUGUUCAAUGCCAUUUCUGCAGGCCAAUUGGUGGCUCCUUUGUUGGAAUGCGUUCAAGGCUGGACAGGCACACCAGGGCCCUUCCCCGCUCGCGCCUCUUGCUAGUUGACACUGCUUCACCUCCCAAUUUUGUUCCGUUCAUCUUCGUGUGGGUCACAUUGACGUUACAAUUAACUAAUAUUGUACAUUAGUAGGAAGUGCGUCACAUUGACGUUACAAUUAACAUUGUACAUUAGUAGGAGAUUCUUGUGUAAAUGCUUGGAGUUGAGGUUGUGUGGUGCCUUCACCCUUGACCACCUCUGUUAACUCACACAGCUUUUAAAUUGCAAUUGCAAUGCGUAGUUGUGUAUAUAUUUCCUAACUUUAGAAGUAGAAGAGGAAGAAAGGUUCCAUUGUUUGCAAGCAAAAAUGAAAAAUGAAUAAGAGUUCACUUCAGCAACAACCAAGACAUUUACUUGAGUGGUCAUGGAUUGUUCUAAUUUGUUUAGAUGUCUUUGAAUGUUUAGUGGAGUUUCAAGAGGAUGGAUGUUUAGCGAUUGAUGUGAUGAUCUUCCCUUUAUUUUGUGACUUUGCUUUUGUUCUGUCCAAGCUUCCCUAUUGGUGCGCCAAAUGAUCAUGAAUUUGUUCAGGUAUUGGUUAAUUUGAAUGUUAUCAUUAGCACAAGAUAUAGUUGUUUUCAAAACUUUAAGAUUAGACAAGAUCAUGAAUUUGCUAGAAGAUGAUUUUAACCAUAUAUAUUAUUAACCCAAUGUGCUUUACACCAUGCCCAAAAUUUGGAUAUUAUAUUAUUCCAUGCCCAAGACUUGGAUAUUAUAUUGCACCAUGUCCAAAAUUUGGAUAUUCCAUCACACCAUGCCUAAUAUUUGAAUUUUAUGUUACACCAAGCCCAAAAUGUCUUGAAUACCACACCAUUUAACAUAUUCCAACUACAUUUGAAUUUUGAGAAUUUGGUCAAACCGGUGGAGGAUUAACUUUCUCAAUGACCGACAGACAACAAAUCACAGUUUUCAUGAAUUGUUGGCUGGGGCAUGCUACCAUGAUACCAUGAGUUCAAUGCAACCAACCAAAUAAGAGCCAAUUCCUUGCAGACUCUUCUCAGUUUCCAAUGCUACAGCAAGAGAUUCAAAAGUGACGAGAAACAGCUCAAAGAAACAGUGGGUAGUGUCGAACAAUCGCAGCUGAAUUAGAGGCUGCAAAUAUAAAAGCUCAAACGAACACAUGGUCCGGAGAUUCACCGAUGAAUUACAUUCCUGAAUUUCAGAUCCAUCGGCACAAUGCGCACUAGACACUCCCACUUCAUCUUCUUCCAACCUAAAUUUUCUAAAUAAGACUGUACUUCGCACCUCUGAUUGCAUUGUGACCAUACAUUGCCAAACUCCUGUCUUCCAGAAAUAAAUUGAGUGAACAAUAAGAACGCUAGGGUAGAUGCACUGCCAAUUUAGCACAGCGAGAGAAAUAUACCCACAGGCGCCAGCUCGUUCAGGUUCUGGAUACGAAACAGUGGAACCCUAGAUUUUAGCGUGUGUAAAGAGCUCGCUGAAGCAAGAACGUUAGGUUGAUUCGAUAACCUGAUUUCGCUUUUAAAAUUAAGCGCGAACUCUAGCUCAGGAAGGAAUACUAUUGAAAUUGAAUUGCACACUUCUAUGCUACGCUAUGCAAUGCAAUAAUAUGAUAUGAUACAAAUUGGUGAGGAUGGGGAGUAAAAAGGAGAGGUGGGGUGGAAUCUAAGCGGAGUUGGGAGCGGCGCGGAGCACAAGCACUUCCAGUGUCAGUCCUGGUCCGAAGCCAAUGAAGAAUCCGAACUCGCUGCCCUCGCCCAAAGUGGACGCACCCACCUUGAUAAUGUGUGCCGAAUCUGAUCCAACACAAACAGCACAGAGGCGCUAGACAUGUUGCCAAACUCGGACAAUAUGUCCCUGCUCCCUUGCAUCUUGUCCUUCGUCAGCUUCAGCUUCGCCUCCACCUGAUCGAGAAUGGCUGGACCUCCGGGAUGCACCGCCCAGAACAUCUCGUUCCAUGCCGGUGAUC
rnacentral:lncRNA from 1 species